rnacentral:rRNA from 1 species
AAAAGGUUUACGGUAAUGGAGUGGGGAUGCGUCUGAUUAGGUAGUAGGCGGGGUAACGGCCCACCUAGCCGACGAUCAGUAGGGGUUCUGAGAGGAAGGUCCCCCACACUGGAACUGAGACACGGUCCAGACUCCUACGGGAGGCAGCAGUGAGGAAUAUUGGUCAAUGGUCGGAAGACUGAACCAGCCAAGUAGCGUGAAGGAAGACUGCCCUAUGGGUUGUAAACUUCUUUUGUCGUGGAACAAAACCUGCCACGUGUGGCAUUUUGCGUGUACACGUUGAAUAAGCAUCGGCUAACUCCGUG